rnacentral:rRNA from 1 species
GAUGAACGCUGGCGGCGUGCCUAAUACAUGCAAGUCGAGCGAACAGACGAGGAGCUUGCUCCUCUGACGUUAGCGGCGGACGGGUGAGUAAUACGUGGAUAACCUACCUAUAAGACUGGGAUAACUUCGGGAAACCGGAGCUAAUACCGGAUAAUAUAUUGAACCGCAUGGUUCAAUAGUGAAAGACGGUUUUGCUGUCACUUAUAGAUGGAUCCGCGCCGCAUUAGCUAGUUGGUAAGGUAACGGCUUACCAAGGCAACGAUGCGUAGCCGACCUGAGAGGGUGAUCGGCCACACUGGAACUGAGACACGGUCCAGACUCCUACGGGAGGCAGCAGUAGGGAAUCUUCCGCAAUGGGCGAAAGCUUGACGGAGCAACGCCGCGUGAGUGAUGAAGGUCUUCGGAUCGUAAAACUCUGUUAUUAGGGAAGAACAAAUGUGUAAGUAACUAUGCACGUCUUGACGGUACCUAAUCAGAAAGCCACGGCUAACUACGUG